AGUCCUGUGGUGUAACGGUAGCACAACAGUUUUUGGUACUGUUUGUUCUGGUUCGAAUCCAGCCGGGACUACCA
rnacentral:tRNA from 1 species